GUUUCUCUCUGACAGUCUGCUGAGAGUGUUUGCAAAGUGAUCGGGGCAACAGGGCACAAAAGCUAAAGGAUGUAGCUGCCAUGAUGACAUUAAGGAUGACAUUAAUGCUCGAAGGGAGUCCCUCAUCAAAGUGCUCCGCAUCUGAGUGAAAGACAAUUGCAACAUCUUGGUGCAGGAGUUCAUGGACUUGACUGAGGCCACUGCACAGAUUGAGAAAACCACAAUGAACAUCUGUCUCCAGAGAUGCGCCAGGCAAUGACUUUUCUGAUGUUGGCAUCAUCAUCGAGGGUAUAGUAGUUCUUCAAGAUCUGGAUAACGCGACCUUUGCAGUAGCCAUGCUGUUUGGACCUUUUUUAUUCCUUCAAUAUGAGUUACCCAUCACAACUCUGCUACACUUUUGAGGUGAUUCAAAGGGUGGUAAUGGAGUUGGAUGCAACUCAGCUCUCAAGAAAAGCUCACAACUAAGACAAAACUGCUCCUGCAAGGAAAGCUCACUGUUAUGCAUGUGAGGGGAUCAGCUCUAGGUGAGAGGACAUGUAAAUCUUGCACUUGUUCUGCUGCAUUUUGGAAGCUCAAUUCCAGGA